rnacentral:rRNA from 1 species
GUGCCAGCAGCCGCGGUAAUACGUAGGGGGCGAGCGUUGUCCGGAUUCAUUGGGCGUAAAGAGCUCGUAGGCGGUUCGGUUAGUCAGAUGUGAAAACUCCGGGCUCAACUCGGAGAGGCCAUCUGAUACUGCCGUGACUGGAGUUCGGUAGAGGAGUGUGGAAUUCCCGGUGUAGCGGUGAAAUGCGCAGAUAUCGGGAGGAACACCAGCGGCGAAGGCGGCACUCUGGGCCGAUACUGACGCUGAGGAGCGAAAGCGUGGGGAGCGAACAGGAUUAGAAACCCCCGUAGUCC